GCCUCGAUGGUGUAGUUGGCUAUCACGUGGGUCUCAUAGGAAAGGGUCACGUGACUCGAAACAUGAGGGCGCUUUGCGCUUGCAAUCCCGAGGUCGAGAGUUCGAUCCUCUCUCGGGGCA
rnacentral:tRNA from 1 species